CUGGCGGCGUGCCUAACACAUGCAAGUCGAGCGAGGAGAUCCUUCGGGAUGAUCCUAGCGGCGGACGGGUGAGUAACACGUGGGCAACCUGCCUCAUAGAGAGGAAUAGCCUUCCGAAAGGGAGAUUAAUACCUCAUAACAUUGCAGUUUCGCAUGGAACAGCAAUUAAAGGAGUAGUCCGCUAUGAGAUGGGCCCGCGGCGCAUUAGCUAGUUGGUGAGGUAACGGCUCACCAAGGCGACGAUGCGUAGCCGACCUGAGAGGGUGAUCGGCCACAUUGGGACUGAGACACGGCCCAGACUCCUACGGGAGGCAGCAGUGGGGAAUAUUGCACAAUGGGGGAAACCCUGAUGCAAGCAACGCCGCGUGAGUGAUGACGGCCUUCGGGUUGUAAAGCUCUGUCUUCAGGGACGAUAAUGACGGUACCUGAGGAGGAAGCCACGGCUAACUACGUGCCAGCAGCGGC
rnacentral:rRNA from 1 species